AAUUUUUCGAAUCCGUGCAGAGAUUCCAUCAGACACCAACUCAUUAGGUCGGACCAGACUUCCAAGAUAAGUGAAGUU
rfam:Schistosoma mattheei strain Denwood, Zambia genome assembly, scaffold: SMTD_scaffold0016082